rnacentral:SRP_RNA from 2 species
UCCGAGCUCAGUACCGUGGACUGGUAACUCAAGUGGGGGCAUUAGUGUACCUGCCCUAUCGAAGCACAGAGUUGGGUCCCGUAGUCUAUGGCAAAGGCUUGGGCAUGUGUGGCAAUUUUCUGGCCUGCCCUAUCCAAGCACAUAGUUGGGUCCCGUAGUCUAUGGCGAGGCUUGGGCUGCUGGGCUACUAAACUGGGGUGGACUGUGUGAGGUUGGUUUCACAGAGCAACGAAUAGCUCCCGCUCUGUGCAGUGGAAGGAUAACGAGUCAGUGUCGUACUAGUCCAAUGAAUGCCUGAUGGACUGCUCUAAUUAAACCACCACUUUU